AUUGAACGCUGGCGGCAGGCUUAACACAUGCAAGUCGAGCGGAGAUGAGGUGCUUGCACCUUAUCUUAGCGGCAGACGGGUGAGUAAUGCUUAGGAAUCUGCCUAUUAGUGGGGGACAACAUUCCGAAAGGAAUGCUAAUACCGCAUACGUCCUACGGGAGAAAGCAGGGGAUCUUCGGACCUUGCGCUAAUAGAUGAGCCUAAGUCGGAUUAGCUAGUUGGUGGGGUAAAGGCCUACCAGGGCGACGAUCUGUAGCGGGUCUGAGAGGAUGAUCCGCCACACUGGGACUGAGACACGGCCCAGACUCCUACGGGAGGCAGCAGUGGGGAAUAUUGGACAAUGGGGGGAACCCUGACCCAGCCAUGCCGCGUGUGUGAAGAAGGCCUUAUGGUUGUAAAGCACUUUAAGCGAGGAGGAGGCUACUGAGACUAAUACUCUUGGAUAGUGGACGUUACUCGCAGAAUAAGCACCGGCUAACUCUGUGCCAGCCGCCGCCGUAACAC
rnacentral:rRNA from 1 species